CACCAUUUCAAGAACCCAAGGUUUGAACUUAUUCGACACGAUGUCGUUGAGCCGAUUUUGUUAGAAGUCGAUCAGAUUUAUCAUCUAGCUUGUCCCGCUUCUCCUGUUCAUUACAAGUUUAAUCCAGUCAAGACUAUUAUAUCCUUAAUUUCACAUUCUUUAUACCAUUGCACCACUAUUCUUUUGACAAUAUGUGUGAACUACACAAAUAUGUUUUUUUUUCAUAUAUAUAUAGUUCAAAUCGAAAAUAACAACGAUACGUAUCGUGUUUUUCAUAUGAUCAUGUUUGUUUUUUUGAGUUUAUUUUCCUUGACUUUAAAAUGGAAAGAUAUCACAAAACAAAUGUGAUGGGAACAAUGAAUAUGUUGGGAUUAGCAAAAAGAGUGGGAGCUAGGUUUCUUAUUACUAGCACAAGUGAAGUUUAUGGUGAUCCAUUGCAACAUCCUCAGGCUGAGACUUAUUGGGGCAAUGUU
rnacentral:lncRNA from 1 species